GGAUCAAUAUGCUGGUCGUGCCUUUGGCACGUACUGGUAUUAUUGGUUUCUCCCUUCUGACGAACCAUGAUGUCAUUUAUUUGGUGUUGUGGGGAAUCAGGACUGUUACUUUGAAAAAAUUAGAGUGUUUAAAGCAGGCUCACGCUUGAAUACAUUAGCAUGGAAUAAUGAAAUAGGACGUUUGAUUCUAUUUUGUUGGUUUCUAGGAUCGACGUA
rnacentral:rRNA from 1 species